UAGGGAAUCUUCCGCAAUGGACGCAAGUCUGACGGAGCAACGCCGCGUGAGUGAAGAAGGAUUUCGGUUCGUAAAACUCUGUUGUUAGAGGAGAACAGCGCAUAGAGUAACUGUUAUGCGUGUGACGGUAUCUAACCAGAAAGCCACGGCUAACUACGUGCCAGCAGCCGCGGUAAUACGUAGGUGGCAAGCGUUGUCCGGAUUUAUUGGGCGUAAAGCGAGCGCAGGCGGUCAAUUAAGUCUGAUGUGAAAGCCCCCGGCUCAACCGGGGAGGGUCAUUGGAAACUGGUUGACUUGAGUGCAGAAGAGGAGAGUGGAAUUCCAUGUGUAGCGGUGAAAUGCGUAGAUAUAUGGAGGAACACCAGUGGCGAAGGCGACUCUCUGGUCUGUAACUGACGCUGAGGCUCGAAAGCGUGGGUAGCAAACAGG
rnacentral:rRNA from 1 species